GUGUUUCCGUAAUCUAAGAUAUUGAUCGCUUUGUAAAGUUUAACCCACCACCAUCCCCAUCUAACCGUCCAAAUAAUUUUAUAAUUUAAAACAGUCAUAAUAGCUUGUGCCAAUAUCAGAAAUCCAUUCUAAUGUUUACAUUGUGUGCAUCAUGGUUUUAUUAGAUUUAUGGCAGAACUUUGUAUAUGCCACCUUAAUUUUUUACAUGUUUAUAUUAAGGGAGAUCACCCUGCCAUUGUUGUUUACUAUUUUUGGUUAUAUUUUACCGGGUGAUCUCAAUAUUUGUUCAGGUGUUUUUUAACUAAUAAGGGAGAUCCCACAGUACCUGUUACAUAAGUCAUUUUAAUAAGAUUAAGUAUUGACUUUGUCAGGGAUCUCCCUGUUUGUGAUGUGGUUUAUUUGUACAAGUUUUUGAUUCGUCAUUAAUAAAUGACAUUAUUUCGUC
rnacentral:sRNA from 1 species